ACUUGGUUAGUUUAUUUAAAAUAUUAAAUUGUGGAUUUAAAGAAGUAAAUACAUUAAGUA
rnacentral:tRNA from 1 species